GAAAAUCACUUGUCUUCUGAAUUUAGAAUUAAUAAGAUGGAGACAACUCAUAUUGCUUUUAAAUUAACAGCAUGGAGACCUGUUGAAAUUUCCUUCCAUGGACACUUUAUUGUAGAAGCUGAUUCAAGACAAUAAGACCAUAAAGGAAUCAAUGAACUAAUCAUGAUAUUUUCUACCAGAAAGAGUUGCAGCAUAAAGGGAUCUACCAUUGCUUUGCACAGAACAUAGGAAUUACAUUUUGUUAUUAUGAUGUUCCCUGAAAGCCUCAACCACAGAGUCACAUUCUUCACCGAACUCUUGACUGAGCCUUGGCAUGUUACAGUAUUAUAGAAAAUUAAAGUUAUUGAUACAAAAUAUUCUUUCAAAAAUCCCUUACCACCUGCAAAUGCCUCUAUUUGACUUCAUUUAUGUGAAUAAGACCCUGUGUCAGAGUAGUGUGUAGACAGAUUUGGUAGAAGAGAGACGAAUGUAAUGAUAACUAUUGUGGAAGAUGCACACGUGGCUGAGAUGCAUUCUUGAUCCAAGGAAAUAUUGCUGACCAAGAUGGUCUUUUUCCUCCUUAGUAUCUUGCAAAGUAAGCUUAAUCCCUUCACUCAUUACAUUUGUAAAUGUAGAUAAUUUCUUCACAAGAUAGGGUGUUAUUAACUUAGCUCUCAUUUUGACCUCUACAUAUGAGAUAAUUAACCAGGAGAAAUUAAAAAAAAAAAGUACUUACAAGCAAAGGUAAUGGCUAUUAUGUAUUUAAACUAGUUCUUAUCUACAUUGGACAUUGAGAAACUCAUUCAUCGAAAUUUAUUUUAAAUUAUUGGUUUAACUAUAUUACUUUAAUGCCUAUUCUAUAUAUUUACUAAACUUGUAAACUAUUAUAUACAUUCAAUAUUCAAUGAAUAUUCUAGCUGGGUAAACAAAUGAAUAAUACACUUUUUACAAUUUUUGUGAAUAUGUUUUAGGAUAAAAUAUAGCUGGAUUUUAUGAAUUAAUCAUGCUCUUUCUUCCUUUCAUUUCUUUUUUCCUCCCUCCUUUCCAAUCUCCAUCCCAUUCAUGUCCUCUCUCAUGCCAUUCUCUAUCUCAAUCCCCCAUCCUAUCUCUCUCCCAAUCUUCCUUUCUCAUGAAGCCUCCAUACAGGCGUGUGUCACAUUUAUAUUUGAAAAUGUAUCUAAAUGAUUAGAGUUUUUAUUUUAUGUAGCACAGACAUGCAACGAAUCAAAGCACCAGCAUUAUAAACACUGUCUUUAAUGUGAAAGCAAAGGUCAGGAUUUUCAUAAAAGUCUGUCCUUUUGUGAAAAGCUUUCUAAGUGCUGGAAUAGUUCUUCACUCCAAGUCACUUACAUAUUAUAAUCAAACUCUUAGAGGAACAGUGUCCCAUUGUUAGUACAAAGGUCAAGAUGCCUACUAGCUAAGAGAGAGAACCAAGAACACCUUUAUGCAAUUUAGAAAAGCAUUACAUCUAUGACAGACACAGGAUAGUAGGAUGUAGUAUAAAAAUGUGCAGAUUAGUAAAGUCCAUUACCAGAGAUAAAGCACAAGACACAGUGUAAGUCUAAGAGUGCCACAUAGAAGAGCCUCUAUCAUUGUGAGGGUUUUCAGUUUCACUGAUGAAAUGCAAUCAUAAGGAAUGUUUCAGAAACUCUAAUGUAAGCAAGCCGAAUAGACAGCUAGAACAUUUUUAUGCCUUUCUUACUACAUGCAAAUAUGUGCAUAUAGACAUACGUAAUUAGGUAUAAUAUAUGUAAAUAUAUUUAUGCAUUAUAGAUACUUCUACACACACACACACUCACACACACACACACACACACACACACAGUUCAAGUUCCUGGAAAUAUACAAGUAAAAGUUAUGAAAUACAGAGUGCUGUACAUUUUUUACACCAUGUGAAAAUGGAAAGAUAUUAAUAGAUAUUUUAGUCAGUAAUCCAUUCUGACCUGAAAAAUCUUGAAUAUAAAUGACUUAACUUCAUCUGUAACUUUAUUGUUGCAUUCAAGGAUAACAUUUUCUUGGUUUACAUUAUAUUAACUUAUUCUGUCUAUCACAUACCAUCACAUGCUGGUGGUUACAAAGACAUUGACUCAAGAAUAAAAUUUUAGUCAGUGUGAGAAUGUUUUUCUUAUAUUAGGGACAUCGUCUUUUGUAUUUUAUUUGUGCUUCAUAAUUUAUUUAAAUUAUUAUGUUUAAUUUUCUAGUUCAUAAUCUCAUGCUAAUAUAUCACCCUAAUUUUUAAUUAUUGGUUUUCAGUUUUUAAUUCUACAAUCUUUUAUGGUAUAAAUAUAUGUAC
rnacentral:lncRNA from 1 species